CGACUGAGUGACUGAACUGAAUUGAACUGACUGAGGUCAUCCUGGAUAGUAGGGUGGGUCUCUAAUCGAACAUGACUCGUAUGAAGAGGGAAAAAAAGACAGGGACAUUCAUGCAGACAGAGGAAAGCCAUGUGACUACAGAGACAGGUGAUACAAGCAAGGGGAGUAAGCAGAGCCAAGACAGGAGCAUGGAACAGACUCUUCCUCAGAGCCUCCAGAAGAGCCAGUCCUGUCAGCACGUUGAUUUGGACUUCUGAUUUCCAGAACCACAAAACAGAACAUUCCUGUUGUUUUACAUUGCCCGGUUUGUAGUAAUUUCUUAAAGCAGCCCUAGAAAACUAAUGCAUCACCUCACCUCCCUCCCUAUGAAUGAAUGCAGGGGAAUCAGAGGGUAUGUGUGUAAUAAGACCGGGAGCCCAAGAGGAAAGACAUCCUCAGAGGAAGCCUAUCCCUGAUCAGGUUACCUAGGAGUGGACUCACUGAUACCCCAGCUGGAGGAAACCCUCACAGUAGAUAAACUGCUCAUGUCUCUGUUGUGUGCACCAGACCAAGUCCAUGGUCAAACAUGGCUUUAAUCUUGAAGGUCAGACUCUGCUAGCUGCAGGGGAACUAUAGGAGAUGAUUCCUGCAUCAAGAAGUUUGCAGUAACCAGCCACAACCACUCCCUUUUAGUAUAAAAGACGUCUGAAUUCUAACCGGGUGAAAGAGCAGGAGAGAAGAUGCUCGGGCGGGUGGUGCUUCCCUAGAGAGCAGGCAUGCCCUCUGGGAUCUGAGAGGAACAGCAUUGCUCCCU